rnacentral:lncRNA from 1 species
GUGCUUUUCAAGUUAAGUUGGAAAAGACAGAAUCCUAGCAUAACUGUUCUCUGAGAAGCUCUACAAAACAGCUGAUCCAAACAGAUGCAGAGACCCACAGCCAAACCGUAUAUGGAGCUUGGGGAGUUUCGUGAAAGAAUCAGGAAAAGUGUUGAGGGACCAGAAGAGGAUAGGGACUCCACAGAAUACCAACAUAGUCAACUCACCUGGACCUUUGAUGCCACCCAGAGACUGAAUGGCCAACCAAAGACCAAACAUGGACUAGACCUAAGAACCCUGCAUAUAUGUAGCAGAUGUACAGCUUAGACUUCAUGCAGGUCCUCCAACAACUGGAAGAGGAGAUGC